UUCAGAAAAUGCUCUGAAGGCGAAGUGCACAGUGCCCACUGGGACUGAAUCUGCCUGAAAAAGAUCUUCCUUCACCCGGAGGCCUGUUUGUCAUCAAGAGGGAACCUCUACACGGGCCAAACUCUGCAAGUGAUGGGCUCGGAGAACAGCGCUUUGAAGAGCUACGCGCUAGAGGAGCCACCGUUCACGCUGCCAACCGGACACACCAUUUAUCCGGCCGUGCUACAAGAUGGCAAACGUGCUUCGGUCUUUGUGUACAAGAGAGAGAACGAAGAUAAGGUUAAUAAAGCUGCCAAGCACCUGAAAACCUUGCGCCACCCUUGCCUUCUGCGCUUCCUCUCUUGUACCGUGGAAGCAAAUGGGAUCCACCUGGUGACAGAACGUGUGAAGCCUUUGGAGAUGGUCCUGGAGACCCUCUCUUCUGCAGAAAUCUGCGCAGGGAUCUACGACGUGUUGCUGGCACUCAUCUUCCUCCAUGACAGGGGAAACCUAACGCAUAACAACGUCUGUUUAUCAUCUGUGUUUGUAAGUGAGGAUGGGCACUGGAAGCUGGGAGGAAUGGAAACAGUCUGUAAUUUCAAUGAAGCCACCCCAGAGUUCCUGUGUCAUGUCAAGUCGGUACGAGACCAGUCGUGCAUCCCUUGCGAGGAGAUGUCUGCAGAUUUCAAAAUUCUGCCCAACAGCUAUGGGCACGCGAGGGAUGCCUACGCCUUUGGAACGAUGGUGGAAAACCUCCUGACAGUCCUUAAUGAUCAGGUUUCAGCAGACAUCCUCUCCAGCUUUCAGCAAACCUUGCACUGUACGCUGCUGAAUCCAGAUCCAAAGUGUCGUCCACCACUGUCCAGCUUACUGUCUCACGAGUUCUUCAGGAAUGAUUUUCUGGAAGUUGUGAACUUUCUGAAAACCUUAACGCUAAAGUCUGAGGAGGAAAAAACUGAAUUUUUCAAGUUCCUGCUGGACAGGGUGGCUGGCCUGUCAGAGGAGCUGAUAGCGUCACGGCUGGUGCCGCUUCUUCUCAAUCAGCUCGUCUUUGCAGAACCUGUAGCUGUCAAGAGUUUUCUUCCUCAUCUGCUGGGUCCAAAGAAAGAGCAAAUUGGAGAAAACCAGACCAGCUGCCUCCUGUCCCCAGCCUUGUUCCAGACACACGUCAUCCCUGUGCUGCUGAAGCUGUUUGAGGUUCACGAGGAGCACGUUCGGAUGGUGUUGCUGUCUCACAUUCACGCCUACGCAGAACUGUUCUCUCGGGAGGAGCUGAAAAACAUCAUAUUGCCCCAGGUAUUGCUGGGCCUUCGAGAUACCAGUGACUCCAUCGUCGCGAUAACGCUGCACAGCUUGGCAGUUCUCGUCUCCCUGCUUGGACCUGAAGUAGUUGUAGGUGGAGAAAGAACGAAGAUUUUCAAAAGCUCUGCACCAAGUUUCAUGAAAACUGCUGAUCUCUCCCCAGAAGACUCCCCCAGCCACGUGGUAAGCAAUCAGAGAAAUCAAACCUCUCGGCCCUUGAAGAACCAUUCUAGUGUGUUCCCCAUCUCUGGAAAUGUACCUGUCAAGAAGUUUGCUGUGCGACAAGACAAUCCCCUGGCUUUGAAGACAGGUGAGCAAGACGCUCCGUGCCCCCUGAAUGGGAUUCCUGGGAGCAUUAAUACACUAGGGAGCAGCAGGAGCUCUUUGACUACUUCUGAAAAGCCAGCAGAGGAGUGGCCAGACUGGAGUGAGCCAGAGGAGACAGACACUGAGAAAACAGUAAACAUUCAAAUUCGGCCCCGAGAGCCGCGGGGCAGUGUGGGACCUUAUUUUGCUGAACCUGCUGUAGAUGAGAAGCCUUGGGAUGACUUUGAGCCCAGCAGCCCUAGUCCUGAACGGUCUUCAGGGAACUGCCUCACUGUGACACAAACUGAUGCGGUUGAAACACCAAGGCCUCUGCCAGGUACCCAUCAACUCGGCAAAGAAUUCAAAAGCCUCAGACUGAGUCCCCCCCCAAAGUCCUGCCCCGGGAACAGCUGGAGCAACGACGAGUGGGACCACCAGGAACAACCGGGAGGAACUGUGCUGCCAAAAACAACCUUCCAGGAAAGGUUGAAGUCUUCAUCAGAGUCUGGCCUGGGAGAAGAAUUCACAAUCAAAGUGAAGAGGAAACCUGUGCAAGACCCUGAGCUGGACUGGUUUGCUGACAUGAUCCCGGACAUUAAACCUUCUUCAGCUGUCUUGAUUUUACCUGAAGAGAGGACAGAAGCAGUUGUUCCCAGCCACUCCGGUGUAGUGUCCAGCAGAGAAGGUGCCUCCCAGAAUGUGCUGUUUUCAUCCAAAUUUGCAGCGGCUGAUGUUAUUGAGGCUGAAGCUGCAGGCUGGGGUGAAGAAGAGGAGUUGAACUGGGAAGAUGAUGCUAACUGGUAACAGGACUGAAAGAGACAGAGGCAAUCUGCUUCCCCAGUACAAUGGAUAAGUACCUCAGCACUGCUUUUGCCAGAAAGCAGGCGCUUGCUGCAGCGGGCAGCAAGAUCCCGUGGGGCCUGAUCUCUUGCAAUGGAUGCUCCUUUCCAGUCUGUGCCAAAACCUGCAGGGGUGAGGCCUGCACUCAAGCAAUAUGCCCAGCUGUGGUACGUGCCACUGCUACCAGAGAGAGGAACAGCGUGAUGGGGGUGUUGGUGCUGACGUGCUACUGGAGGCCAAGAGCGGCUUCUGUCAGUCAGUGGCACAAGAGGUACUAGGAACCGUGCAGUGAAGGACCACUGAACACCAGCUGCUUAAGCACUGCAUUCUUUCUGCUUUAAAUGGUGACUAAUAAAGAUCACCUUAAAAGAUGACCCUAGCGUGGAGUGGAACCAACAGCAGAGGUAUGUUCAGAGAACAGCGUAGA